rnacentral:rRNA from 1 species
UGGGGAAUAUUGCACAAUGGACGAAAGUCUGAUGCAGCAACGCCGCGUGGAGGAUGACACAUUUCGGUGCGUAAACUCCUUUUAUAUAGGAAGAUAAUGACGGUACUAUAUGAAUAAGCACCGGCUAACUCCGUGCCAGCAGCCGCGGUAAUACGGAGGGUGCAAGCGUUACUCGGAAUCACUGGGCGUAAAGAGCGUGUAGGCGGGUAUAUAAGUCAGAAGUGAAAUCCUAUAGCUUAACUAUAGAACUGCUUUUGAAACUGUAUACCUAGAAUGUGGGAGAGGUAGAUGGAAUUUCUGGUGUAGGGGUAAAAUCCGUAGAGAUCAGAAGGAAUACCGAUUGCGAAGGCGAUCUACUGGAACAUUAUUGACGCUGAGACGCGAAAGCGUGGGGAGCAAACA